GACGAACGCUGGCGGCGUGCUUAACACAUGCAAGUCGAACGGAAAGGCCCUGCUUUUGUGGGGUGCUCGAGUGGCGAACGGGUGAGUAACACGUGAGUAACCUGCCCUUGACUUUGGGAUAACUUCAGGCAACUGGGGCUAAUACCGGAUAGGAGCUCCUGCUGCAUGGUGGGGGUUGGAAAGUUUCGGCGGUUGGGGAUGGACUCGCGGCUUAUCAGCUUGUUGGUUGGGUAGUGGCUUACCAAGGCUUUGACGGGUAGCCGGCCUGAGAGGGUGACCGGCCACAUUGGGACUGGGAUACGGCCCAGACUCCUACGGGAGGCAGCAGUGGGGAAUAUUGCACAAUGGGCGGAGGCCUGAUGCAGCAACGCCGCGUGCGGGAUGACGGCCUUCGGGUUGUAAACCGCUUUCGCCUGUGACGAAGCGUGAAUGACGGUAAUGGGUAAAGAAGCACCGGCUAACUACGUG
rnacentral:rRNA from 1 species